AGUCGAGCGGCAAGGUCUUCGGACCCUAGAGCGGCGCACGGGUGAGUAACGCGUACGCAAUCUGCCCUUCAGUGAGGAAUAGCCCUGGGAAACUGGGAUUAAUACCUCAUAAUAUUAUGUAGCUGCAUGGCUAUAUAAUUAAAGUUCUGGCGCUGAAGGAUGAGCGUGCGUCUGAUUAGCUAGUUGGUAGGGUAACGGCCUACCAAGGCUACGAUCAGUAGGGGGCGUGAGAGCGUGACCCCCCACACGGGUACUGAGACACGGACCCGACUCCUACGGGAGGCAGCAGUAAGGAAUAUUGGGCAAUGGAGGCAACUCUGACCCAGCCAUCCCGCGUGAAGGAUUAAGGCCCUAUGGGUUGUAAACUUCUUUUGUUUGGGAAGAAAUCUGGUCAUUUAUGAGCAGUUGACGGUACCUUACGAAUAAGCACCGGCUAACUCCGUGCCAGCAGCCGCGGUAAUACGGAGGGUGCAAGCGUUAUCCGGAAUCACUGGGUUUAAAGGGUGCGUAGGCGGUUUGAUAAGUCAGAGGUGAAAGCUAGCAGCUUAACUGUUAAAUUGCCUUUGAUACUGUCAGACUUGAAUCAAGUUGAGGUAGGCGGAAUGUGACAUGUAGCGGUGAAAUGCAUAGAUAUGUCAUAGAACACCAAUUGCGUAGGCAGCUUGCUGGGCUUGAAUUGACGCUGAGGCACGAAAGCGUGGGGAUCAAACAGGAUUAGAUACCCUGGUAGUCCACGCCCUAAACGAUGUUAACUCGAUAUUUAUU
rnacentral:rRNA from 1 species